rnacentral:rRNA from 1 species
UACGUAGGGUGCGAGCGUUGCUCGGAAUUAUUGGGCGUAAAGAGCUUGUAGGCGGUUUGUCGCGUCUGCCGUGAAAAUUCGAGGCUCAACCUCGAACUUGCGGUGGGUACGGGCAGACUAGAGUGUGGUAGGGGAGACUGGAAUUCCUGGUGUAGCGGUGAAAUGCGCAGAUAUCAGGAGGAACACCGAUGGCGAAGGCAGGUCUCUGGGCCGUAACUGACGCUGAGGAGCGAAAGCAUGGGGAGCGAACAGG